AGAAAAUAAGACAAAUCCGAGCCCUGCAGUCACUGGAUAACUACGUAUAAUGAACGAAAUCAUGAUUCCACAAUAACUCACCAGAUUUACUGAUUUCUUUGAAGCUUGAUCCUCUUCAAGUUUGUAACUUUUUAUAAUUACUAACUCUAUAAUGCACAAAACUCCUGCUAAAUAAGAAUUUGAAAUCUACCUCUGUUUUUCUUUUCUUGGUAGCCUACUGUUGAAAUUAACGGAAUUCAUCAUGGAAAUCAUAAUCCUCGUCUUCUUCAUCAUUGAAAACAGCACUGUAAAAUACAUAUGGGUUCUCAAUCAUCUCCAUCAAGGAUAGCCGCCCAUCUUUAUCUGUAUCAGCCUGUGAUAUGAUGUAAUCUGCUUGUUGUUUUGCAUAGUAACGCUCUGAUGGAUGAAGCUUUCCAAUAAUAGGCAGUAACUCAGUGUCAGACAAAUAGCCGUCACCAUCUUUGUCUAGCUGAGCAAAUAACAUCUUAGCUGGGGCCUCCAUUGAAUCAUCAGAGAGAUGUGAGGAAUUAUGACUUUCUUCAUCAUAAUUUCUCACCAAGUCAAAUAGUCCAUGGAAGAAUUC
rnacentral:misc_RNA from 1 species